CGGCAGUUGGAGGAGCAGCUGAAGGUACACCGCAGGGAGCUGGACAAGAAGGACGAGCUCAUCAGAACCCUGACCCUUCUCAGAGGAACUGCUGAUUCAACAGUUGGUAUUGUGAGUGACCUACGCCAGUCGGAGGGUCGGAGGGGUGUUUCUCUUGGCCGGGACGCCCUGCCUCGUUACACGGCACUGGAGGACACAUCACGGCCAGAGUACGCUGGACAACUGGUGAAGUACGAGGGCUC